AGACCCGAAACCCGGUGAUCUAGCCAUGGGCAGGUUGAAGGUUGGGUAACACUAACUGGAGGACCGAACCGACUAAUGUUGAAAAAUUAGCGGAUGACCUGUGGCUGGGGGUGAAAGGCCAAUCAAACCGGGAGAUAGCUGGUUCUCCCCGAAAGCUAUUUAGGUAGCGCCUCGUGAAUUCAUCUCCGGGGGUAGAGCACUGUUUCGGCUAGGGGGCCAUCCCGGCUUACCAACCCGAUGCAAACUGCGAAUACCGGAGAAUGUUAUCACGGGAGACACACGGCGGGUGCUAACGUCCGUCGUGAAGAGGGAAACAACCCAGACCGCCAGCUAAGGUCCCAAAGUCAUGGUUAAGUGGGAAACGAUGUGGGAAGGCCCAGACAGCCAGGAUGUUGGCUUAGAAGCAGCCAUCAUUUAAAGAAAGCGUAAUAGCUCACUGGUCGAGUCGGCCUGCGCGGAAGAUGUAACGGGGCUAAACCAUGCACCGAAGCUGCGGCAGCGAACGUAUCACUUAAAGCGAUUCAGCGGGUUACGAUUGACGGAGCGAAGCGACGUCAAAGCGUAUACAAAGUCGAGUCGGUUUAAGGAUACGUUCGUUGGGUAGGGGAGCGUUCUGUAAGCCUGUGAAGGUGGCCUGUGAGGGUUGCUGGAGGUAUCAGAAGUGCGAAUGCUGACAUAAGUAACGAUAAAGCGGGUGAAAAGCCCGCUCGCCGGAAGACCAAGGGUUCCUGUCCAACGU
rnacentral:rRNA from 1 species